AGAGUUUGAUCCUGGCUCAGGACGAACGCUGGCGGCGUGCCUAACACAUGCAAGUCGAACGGGGUGAGGCCCUUCGGGACCUUUACCUAGUGGCGAACGGGUGAGUAACGCGUGAGGAACCUGCCUUUCAGUGGGAGACAACAGUUGGAAACGACUGCUAAUACCGCAUGAAGCUUUUGGGAGACAUCUCCUGGAAGCCAAAGCUUAAUGUGCUGAAAGAUGGCCUCGCGUCUGAUUAGCUAGUUGGUGGGGUAACGGCCCACCAAGGCGACGAUCAGUAGCCGGUCUGAGAGGAUGAACGGCCACAUUGGGACUGAGAUACGGCCCAGACUCCUACGGGAGGCAGCAGUGGGGAAUAUUGGGCAAUGGGCGAAAGCCUGACCCAGCAACGCCGCGUGAAGGAAGAAGGCCUUCGGGUUGUAAACUUCUUUUACCAGGGACGAAGGACGUGACGGUACCUGGAGAAAAAGCAGCGGCUAACUACGUGCCAGCAGCCGCGGUAAUACGUAGGUUGCAAGCGUUGUCCGGAUUUACUGGGUGUAAAGGGUGUGUAGGCGGAGAUGCAAGUUAGGAGUGAAAUCUAUGGGCUCAACCCAUAAACUGCUUCUAAAACUGUAUCCCUUGAGUAUCGGAGAGGCAAGCGGAAUUCCUAGUGUAGCGGUGAAAUGCGUAGAUAUUAGGAGGAACACCAGUGGCGAAGGCGGCUUGCUGGACGACAACUGACGCUGAGGCGCGAAAGCGUGGGGAGCAAACAGGAUUAGAUACCCUGGUAGUCCACGCUGUAAACGAUGAAUACUAGGUGUGGGUGGACUGACCCCCUCCGUGCCGCAGUUAACACAAUAAGUAUUCCACCUGGGGAGUACGACCGCAAGGUUGAAACUCAAAGGAAUUGACGGGGGCCCGCACAAGCAGUGGAUUAUGUGGUUUAAUUCGACGCAACGCGAAGAACCUUACCAGGACUUGACAUCCAACUAACGAAGUAGAGAUACAUCAGGUGCCCUUCGGGGAAAGUUGAGACAGGUGGUGCAUGGUUGUCGUCAGCUCGUGUCGUGAGAUGUUGGGUUAAGUCCCGCAACGAGCGCAACCCCUAUUGUUAGUUGCUACGAAAGAGCACUCUAGCGAGACUGCCGUUGACAAAACGGAGGAAGGCGGGGACGACGUCAAAUCACCAUGCCCCUUAUGUCCUGGGCUACACACGUAAUACAAUGGUGGCCAACAGAGGGAAGCGAAGCCGUGAGGCAGAGCAAAUCCCUAAAAGCCAUCUCAGUUCGGAUUGCAGGCUGCAACUCGCCUGCAUGAAGCUGGAAUUGCUAGUAAUCGCGGAUCAGCAUGCCGCGGUGAAUACGUUCCCGGGCCUUGUACACACCGCCCGUCACACCAUGAGAGUCGGGAACACCCGAAGUCCGUAGUCUAACCGCAAGGGGGGCGCGGCCGAAGGUGGGUCCGGUAAUUGGGGUGAAGUCGUAACAAGGUA
rnacentral:rRNA from 1 species